rnacentral:rRNA from 1 species
UACGUAGGGUGCAAGCGUUUAAUCGGAAUUACUGGGCGUAAAGCGUGCGCAGGCGGCUUUGCAAGACAGAUGUGAAAUCCCCGGGCUCAACCUGGGAACUGCAUUUGUGACUGCAUGGCUAGAGUACGGUAGAGGGGGGAUGGAAUUCCGCGUGUAGCAGUGAAAAUGCGUAGAUAUGCGGAGGAACACCGAUGGCGAAGGCAGCCCCCCUGGGCCAAUACUGACGCUCAUGCACGAAAGCGUGGGGAGCAAACAGG